GACGAACGCUGGCGGCGUGCCUAAUACAUGCAAGUAGAACGCUGAAGACUUUAGCUUGCUAAAGUUGGAAGAGUUGCGAACGGGUGAGUAACGCGUAGGUAACCUGCCUACUAGCGGGGGAUAACUAUUGGAAACGAUAGCUAAUACCGCAUAACAGCAUUUAACCCAUGUUAGAUGCUUGAAAGGAGCAAUUGCCUCACUAGUAGAUGGACCUGCGUUGUAUUAGCUAGUUGGUGAGGUAACGGCUCACCAAGGCGACGAUACAUAGCCGACCUGAGAGGGUGAUCGGCCACACUGGGACUGAGACACGGCCCAGACUCCUACGGGAGGCAGCAGUAGGGAAUCUUCGGCAAUGGGGGCAACCCUGACCGAGCAACGCCGCGUGAGUGAAGAAGGUUUUCGGAUCGUAAAGCUCUGUUGUAAGAGAAGAACGUGUGUGAGAGUGGAAAGUUCACACAGUGACGGUA
rnacentral:rRNA from 1 species